AAAAGAAAAGGGUGAAAAGAACAAAGUUUUGUCCAUCUUUGUUCAUCAUAGCUGAAAGUUAGAGAAGAGAAAGGAGAGGAGAAAGCUCUUGAGUAUUCGGUCAUUAGGAGGAGGAAAAUUGAAGGCAGUUCGUGUGUGGAUCUCGUCAGCAUAUCGUCGCAAACAGAUAAAUCGAUAUGAGUACGAGAGCUACUCGGGGAAGAGGCCGUGGUCGAGGCCGUGGUCGAAGCCGAGGUAGUACUCAAGCCGGAUCUUCGUCUUCUGAACACAUACCCGCUGGAGUAGCACGACCACCACCGGUGGAUGAGAAUGGGCCGUAUGAUCGGGCCGCGGGGGAUGGCGCUCUGUCCCAGGCCAUGUUAAGAGUUUUGGAAAGGGUG